rnacentral:sRNA from 1 species
UUCAAGACGGGGGAAGGAGGCGGUGUGUGUCAAUAUCACCUUUGCUGGAGUAACAGUAGAUGCAUUCGGAUUAUCCAAGAUUCAAAUCCAAAGCCAAAAGAAAAUGUCCGUGGAAACAGAGACAGUUUGAAUGCAGGGAAUACAACACGCAGAGAGAUAAUAAUAACAAACGCAUCACUAUCCCCGUUAUCGUUCUUUCCUAACGAUAUCAAAAAGGAUAGCGGACUCGCUGGGGAUAGGUAUAAAGAAAAAUCGAGACAGAAGAACUAUAGUUGUCAAACCACUAACAAAGGAUACGCAGAUGCCAUAAACACAAUACCUAACUAACAAUUAUGCCUCCCUUUUUUACCACCGUAGAAUCCAAACAGGGUAUAAACCGAUGUAAUCCAAUAGGCCAACGUGAGGGCAAAUUCAAAAAUACGAAAAACAAAAGAAGGAAACAAAAGAAGUUCAAAAACAUAACUAGUUAGUCCCCAAUCAAAAAUCAACCCAUGAACACAACUAAUAUACUGGAGCAAAGAUAAACAGUUCCGACCGUAUAGAACAACAAACAAGCCCAUCGCAAACGAACGUGGGGAAUGUGUGGGUUCGUAAAGAAAAAAAAGAGCAAACUGUUUUAGAACAACGGCGGAAAAUAAAACACCUGAGGGGGGAAAAACAAGAGUAAAAUAAACGGCUUCCCCACCCACGCUAUGAACAAAGAGUCUGAGUAGGAAUAGAGACCGCAAAAUGUUAGUGCCG